rnacentral:rRNA from 1 species
UACGUAGGGUCCGAGCGUUGUCCGGAAUUAUUGGGCGUAAAGGGCUCGUAGGCGGUUUGUCACGUCGGAAGUGAAAUCUUACAGCUUAACUGUGAACUUGCUUUCGAUACGGGCAGACUUGAGGCAUUCAGGGGAGAACGGAAUUCCUGGUGUAGCGGUGAAAUGCGCAGAUAUCAGGAGGAACACCGGUGGCGAAGGCGGUUCUCUGGGAAUGUACUGACGCUGAGGAGCGAAAGUGUGGGGAGCGAACAGG